rnacentral:antisense_RNA from 1 species
UUUUAUGGUGGCUGCGUGUGGGAGACCUUCGGGUCUGCCGGGUUCCUUGUGCCUCGGUCUGCGAACCCGCACGCAGCUACCACCCAU